rnacentral:rRNA from 1 species
UACGUAGGGUGCAAGCGUUGUCCGGAAUUAUUGGGCGUAAAGAGCUCGUAGGCGGUCUGUCGCGUCGGCUGUGAAAUCCCGGAGCUCAACUCCGGGCCUGCAGUCGAUACGGGCAGACUGGAGUUCGGCAGGGGAGACUGGAAUUCCUGGUGUAGCGGUGAAAUGCGCAGAUAUCAGGAGGAACACCGGUGGCGAAGGCGGCAUCCUGGACCGGCAUUGACGCUGAGGCGCGAAAGCCAGGGGAGCAAACGGG